UGUACAUGGUACCUAACUAUUUUUGACAAGUCACUUUUUAUGUGUGAAUAAUAAAUGUCGUCUGCUUGGUCUACGUCUGCGCUGUUUUUUCGGUUUAUGGACCGAAAGUUAGACUUCGUAUUCACCAUUUUGGGGUUCAGCAGCCCAACAUUAGGUGAAUUUGAAGUUUGUUAUGGCAACUUUGAAGUGCAACAUGCCUCAAACAUCCAAAUCCAACACACCCACCUUCCAUGUCAUUUCCUCCAUGGUCAAAACCACCAACUAGCUCUUAGCCAUCUAGCAGGAGCCUUUUCACUCAGUUGAACCACUGACAGUUUCUCCUGAGGUGGGCAGACUCGCACAGCGGGAGAAGAGGCGUAUUGACAGUCACCCUCAAGAGGAGCUGCCCCUCCCAACUAAAGGCCAGCUACCCCCUGGUCAUAGGCAGGAAUGGAGAACAUGGAAGCCCCUCAUUACGUACAGAGAUGCAAGACAAACAUGAAGAAAUGGGGGUAUACAGACGAUUCGAUUGUGGCACAUCACGUCAGUCUAGGCUACACCUUCUAUGAUGCUUAGCCCUCGAGGAGCAGUGCCGCCUUGAAGACCUGAUGGCAGCAAACGAAGGCUGUGAGAUGCGCCCAAUCCUGGUUAGACAUUUGAAGAGUAGAUGAUGGACUCGAAAAAAGAAGAACAUGCCUUUUACUGCUUGGUUAAACUUCUAACUUUGUCCUUGCUCUUUGCUUAAAGGUACCCAUUAACUCAUGGAUGGAGAGAAGCAAUUAAGAUUAUUACAAGUAUCUUAUUCAGGGACACAAGUGUCAUGACCAGGAUUCGAACCCACACUCUGCUGAACAGAAGAAACACCAGAGCUUGAGUUCGGUGCUCUUACCUGCUCGAUCACGACACCCUAGCAUACCGGGAUGGGGGAACUUCUACACCAUGUGUGGCUUAGAAAUUUGAAUUCUGAACUCAAAGGCAAAAAUUGUUGGUCUACCAUUUACGCAAGUAUUCAAGACGAAUAUUAUCAGAGAUUUUUAUUCAUGGACUACUUCUUUUAAAGACACUGGACACUAUUUAUUGGUAACUGUCAAAGGUAGUCUUCACUG